CACGCGCAGCCCCCAGGCAGGUGGAACCUAGGACCCGGCCGGCCGGCCUGGGUUCCUUCGCCUGGGGCCACGGAGGCCACGGACAGCUGAGGUCAGCGAGUCGGCCGGGUGCGGAGGAUCCCCGGGAAAGGUGCCCUUGGAGGCCAGAAGAGGGCAAUUGGAUCCCCUAGAGCUGGAGUUAUAGGCAAUUGUGAGCCCCCAAUAUGGGGGCUGGGAAUUGAGUUCUGGAAAGAGGAAUAAGGACUCUUACACCGCUGGACCAUGUCUUAAGCCCUGUGAUUGCCUUCUUUUGCUGAGCCCUGUGUCCUCCAAGUCAUCCACAUUUUAACACACAGGGAUCUUCACCCUGACCAGGAAAAUCAAGGUUCUGAGAACUAGUUUAUCUUCUUGGAACAGAUAAAAGCUUUUACCUGGUGCCAUAGAAAACAGUACAUAUAAAUAAAAAGGCAGUGUUUCUGUGUAAAAUAAAAGUACAUAAAUAAAUACUAAAAAAAAAA